AACAGAUUUCUAGGGCAUUGCCUUCUCAAUUCGUUGAAUCUCUUCCAAGCCUUAUAUAAACUUUCAUUUCCAAAUUGAUGGAAAUUAUAGAUCUGUUUCUUAAGCU
rnacentral:snoRNA from 1 species